CCAAAGGCUCUUUUCAGAGCCACCCACUUUAUCAUGAAGUGCUGG
rfam:Tupaia chinensis contig173120, whole genome shotgun sequence.